AUGGCGUCCAAGGUCGAGCUGGUGGUGGAGGUGAAGUCGCCGGCGGAGAAGCUGUGGACGGCGAUGCGCGAGUCGACGGAGCUGUUCCCCAAGAUCUUCCCCGAGCAGUACAAGAGCAUCGAGACCGUGGAGGGCGACGGCAAGUCCGCCGGCACCGUCCGCCUCAUCAAGUACACCGAGGGGGUUCCGAUGGUGACGUUCGCCAAGGAGAAGGUGGAGGUGGCGGACGACGAGAAGAAGGUGGUGUCGUACAGCGUGGUGGACGGCGAGCUGGUGAGCUUCUACAAGAACUUCAGGGUGACGGUGCAGGUGACCGACAAGGGCGCCGACGGCGCCGGCGCGGUGGUGAACUGGACCAUGGACUUCGACAAGGCCAGCGACGAGGUGCCCGAGCCGGACGUCAUCAAGGAGACCGCCGCCAAGACCUUCCACGACCUCGACGACUACCUCCUCAAGAACUAG
rnacentral:rRNA from 1 species